rnacentral:rRNA from 1 species
CGAACGCUGGCGGCGUGCCUAAUACAUGCAAGUCGAGCGGACGAAUCGAAAGCUUGCUUUUGAUUCGUUAGCGGCGGACGGGUGAGUAACACGUGGGCAACCUGCCCUGUAGACGGGGAUAACACCGAGAAAUCGGUGCUAAUACCGGAUAACACGAAAUGUCGCAUGACGUUUCGUUGAAAGACGGCGCAAGCUGUCGCUACAGGAUGGGCCCGCGGCGCAUUAGCUAGUUGGUGAGGUAACGGCUCACCAAGGCGACGAUGCGUAGCCGACCUGAGAGGGUGAUCGGCCACACUGGGACUGAGACACGGCCCAGACCCCUACGGGAGGCAGCAGUAGGGAAUCUUCCGCAAUGGACGAAAGUCUGACGGAGCAACGCCGCGUGAGCGAAGAAGGCCUUCGGGUCGUAAAGCUCUGUUGUUAGGGAAGAACAAGUAACGCAGUAACUGGCGUUACCGUGACGGUACCUAACGAGAAAGCCACGGCUAACUACGUG